GGAAGGUCAAGCCGAUGGCUGGCGACGGCAGCUGACUUGAAAUCAGUCGAGCGUGGUGACACGCCUUGAGGGAUCGUUCCCCUCACCUUCCGCCA
rnacentral:tRNA from 7 species